GACGAACGCUGGCGGCGUGCCUAACACAUGCAAGUCUGGGAGAAAAGGGUAGCAAUAUCCUGAGUAAACCGGCGAACGGGUGAGUAACACGUAAGCAACCUUCCUUGUGAACGGGAAUAACCCCGCGAAAGCGGGACUAAUACCCGAUGAUGUUUCGAAGCAGCAUUACUUUGAAAUCAAAGGCCCCAAAAGGCGUCAUAAGAUGGGCUUGCGUCCCAUUAGAUAGUUGGCGGGGUAACGGCCCACCAAGUCGACGAUGGGUAGCUGGUCUGAGAGGACGAUCAGCCACACUGGAACUGAGACACGGUCCAGACUUCUACGGAAGGCAGCAGUGAGGAAUAUUGCUCAAUGGGCAAAGCCUGAAGCAGCGACGCCGCGUGA
rnacentral:rRNA from 1 species